rnacentral:rRNA from 1 species
AUUGAACGCUGGCGGCAGGCCUAACACAUGCAAGUCGAGCGGAUGAAGUGAGCUUGCUCCUGGAUUCAGCGGCGGACGGGUGAGUAAUGCCUAGGAAUCUGCCUGGUAGUGGGGGAUAACGUCCGGAAACGGGCGCUAAUACCGCAUCCGUCCUGAGGGAGAAAGUGGGGGAUCUUCGGACCUCACGCUAUCAGAUGAGCCUAGGUCGGAUUAGCUAGCUGGUGGGGUAAAGGCCUACCAAGGCGCCGAUCCGUAACUGGUCUGAGAGGAUGAUCAGUCACACUGGAACUGAGACACGGGCCAGACUGCUACGGGAGGCAGCAGUGGGGAAUAUUGGACAGUGGGCGGAAGCCUAGUCCAGGCAUGCCGCGCGUGUGAAGAAGGUCUUCGGAGUGUAAAGCACGUUAAGUUGGGAGGAAGGGCAGGAAGUUAAUACCUUGCCGUAUUGACGGUACCAGCAGAAGAAGCACCGGCUAACUACGUG